GCAACUCGACUACAUGAAGCUGGAAUCGCUAGUAAUCGCGAAUCAGAAUGUCGCGGUGAAUACGUUCCCGGGUCUUGUACACACCGCCCGUCACACCAUGGGAGUUGGUAACGCCCGAAGUCAGUGACCUAACCGAGAGGGAGGAGCUGCCGAAGGCGGGACUGAUAACUGGGGUGAAGUCGUAACAAGGUACC
rnacentral:rRNA from 1 species